rnacentral:rRNA from 1 species
GGGGAAUAUUGGACAAUGGGCGAAAGCCUGAUCCAGCCAUGCCGCGUGUGUGAAGAAGGUCUUCGGAUUGUAAAGCACUUUAAGUUGGGAGGAAGGGCAGUAAGUUAAUACCUUGCUGUUUUGACGUUACCAACAGAAUAAGCACCGGCUAACUACGUGCCAGCAGCCGCGGUAAUACGUAGGGUGCAAGCGUUAAUCGGAAUUACUGGGCGUAAAGCGUGCGCAGGCGGUCUUGUAAGACAGAGGUGAAAUCCCCGGGCUCAACCUGGGAACGGCCGUUGUGACUGCAAGGCUGGAGUGCGGGAGAGGGGGAUGGAAUUCCGCGUGUAGCAGUGAAAUGCGUAGAUAUGCGGAGGAACACCGAUGGCGAAGGCAAUCCCCUGGGCCUGCACUGACGCUCAUGCACGAAAGCGUGGGGAGCAAACA